GCUUUCGUGGUGUAGUGGUCAGCACUCUUGACGCGUAACCGAAAGGUCCGUGGUUCGAAUCCCGGCGAAAGCA
rnacentral:tRNA from 1 species